UGCCGGAUGACGGGUGUCUUACCAGGCAAAGUUAGAUCUGCAUCCUUCUGUCUAAUACUGUCUGGUAAUGCCGUCUGUCACAUGGCUGCUGACACCUUCACCUG
ensembl:miRNA